rnacentral:tRNA from 6 species
GCACGGGUGGCGCAAUGGAUAGCGCAGCAGCCACCGAAGCUGCCGGGUGCGGGUUCAAGUCCCGCCCCGUGCA